CGCCUUCUCCUCAGCGCGGGGCUCGCUGUGGAGCGGGGACCCCCCCCCCCCCCCCACGCCGCCUCGGGCCGUGGCCGCUGAGGGGAAGGGGAAGGGUCCCUGCCCCGGCGACGGCAAGGGACCCUCGUGAGCUGAGGGGACGCCGAGCGGGGUCUCUGCCUCCUCUGGGGACGCUGAGGGGCCGGGGGGGGGGGGGGUCCCAGGCCUGGGGACACUGAGGGAGUCUCCCUGACGUGAGGGGGGGGGCCAUGCGCUGAGAGACGCUGUGAGGGAGCUGCUGUGGGGUGGGGGACACCGAAGGGGGUCCCUGCUGUGGGAACACCAAGGGACCGUCCAUGACACGAGGGGACACUGAGGGGUCCAAGCUCCAACAGAGCCUGUGAGGGACUUGCAGUGGGGUGGGGGACACUGAGGGGUCCCUGCCCUGGGGGGGACGCUGAGGAAGACACCACGAAUGAGGGGUUUGAUUCCCCUCCCCGACCCAUCCCUCACAGCGGCUGCCCCACAACCCGGCCUCAUCGCCUGGGACGCGUGGUGGGACCAGACCCAGAAAACGAGGGUGGGAGCGGAAGGCGUAACGAGCACAGCAAGGGAGGCAGGUGCCCUGCGCCGCGUGGGUAGACGCGCUGGUGAGCCGGUAAUGGAGGCCUCCGGCUCUGGUCACCCUAAAGGUCUCAGACCCAUCUCGGUACUGACAGGAAAGCGUUUAAUGCCGCUCUUGUACGGUCUCCGCUGGAGACUUGCGUUUAAUGGAAGGCCAGGUCUCUAGCAGAGUUUCCAUUUGCCGCAUGAAGAUUGCCAAAGUCAACGUUUCCCUAUGACAUUGUGAGAGAAAUAAUGCAAGUAGCUUCUGUGAUCUCCUCUGGUCAUAGCCAAUUUAUGGUCCUGGGCUGGAUUUUUCAGAAGGGAAGACUGUUCUCCUCCCUUACCUUGGCCUCUAGCUCAGAUGCCCAGUCUGAAGGAGCUAUUCUCCAAUAAUUUUUGAUAACGUGCCCCAGACUCCUGUUUUUGAGGAUCACGGCUGCUUGGCAGUCUUCCAAGAGCAAAGGAGCAAAAGUGGCCAUUCUUAAAGGAGGAAAAAUGAUGAUCUAUCACAGGACAGACUGAUUCUUUGAGAGCCUGUUCAGAGAAAGAGCUAUGCUUUCCCCUUACCUCCUCCAUAUUUCCUUUGCAAUCACUUCUAAAAGGAUUUCUAAGUGAGCUGAAGAUCAGAAGAGUGCGGGAGAACAACUCUCACUUUUAUGCACUGCGCGCCCCACGAGGGGAAAGAGUGAUGGCCCUUGAUGGGCUCUGGUUCUCAGAAGCAUUUUGAGCAUGUUCGUUAGAGCCCAUCCCAGGCUUGUGGCUGUACGCAGCCUUCUCAGGAAAGCACGGUUGCUAGGUUCACAGGAUGGCCAGGAGGAGCAGCCAAACUUCUGUGACUGGAGCAGAAUCAAUACACUGAAUGCAUGGUAACGAAGUACACAAAGAUGUAUGACUCAUAGCUAUGUAAUGUCACACUUGUGUAAUCUUUCAAUGUAAACUCUUUUCCUCUAAUAAAAUGUUAGUAAGUGUACAAUACGUAUAUAUGGUGCUGUGAGUCAGCCAAGAAAAUAUACUCUGAUGAAUUCAGAAUGAAUGUGAAUGUUCCCUUGAUAACACACCCUGAAUGUCUGUGUCAGUUUAUGUGCUUGUGAUUUCAGCAACAGCUAUAACAAAAUAUUUUGUUUCUAGGAUAUACAACUGUACGUGUACAUUUCACUGAGAAGCUCCAGUUGGAUGCUGUCUUCUAGUAGGCACUGGAAGGACAUUUGUUUAUAGCACUGCACUGACUCUCUCACCUAACUGCGUUUUUUCUUUGCAUAAAGGAAACGUUUAGUGGGUAGUGAGAAUGAAAGCCAAGUGCACAAAAUAAUAAAUUCACUGCCUUUAGUUUCUUUUUGUUUUCAAGCAAAGCGGCGAAGCUAAAAAACUAUAGCUAUACUAAACCUGGUGAGACGAAUGUGAGAAUUUAUUUACGUUGUGAGUCACUAGUUCUGCACAAAUCGAGUACAACGUUGCCAUGACCUUCCACUUGGUCCAUGAUCGUUGUGCUGACAUUUUCUGGCUCUGUGCUGUAUGCAACGCUUAUUUUAAAUAUCUAAACCCAAGACCCUGGCACUGAUCUCAUUUAUGGCAGCAUAGAUCAGGAGUGAUGCCACUGGUGUAUAAAUGUGAAGAAUGUGAGAUUAGAAAGUAUUUGUUAAUCUGCUGCGGGUAGAGGAGAGCUAAAUGAUGUGUGAUUUGUCUUCCAGCCAAAGUAAACACAGGCUCAACCAUUUUUGAAUGGCAAAGUUGAUCUUUCUAGGUGUUGCUGCUGAUCUCUCUUGUUACUUUUACAUCAAGAGAAACUUUUUAAGGGAUUGCAAUCAAGAUUCCACAUGUUAAUAGAAGAAUCAAAGCUGGGGCUGUGUGAUGAACUGCACCCUUGGUGAAACACUGCAGCUGGAUGGGUUGGUGAGAAUGCCCAGGUCACCUGGCUGCUAGAGCACUCUGAGUCAUUACAGGACUCAAACAAACAAACAAAAAGCUCCUUUCUCAUGGGAUUGUUCUCAGAAAGUCCUGACUGCACCUAGAGAAAACGUAGUAAUAGCAGGGUAAACGAGCUGAGAAUGAGACCUCUUAGCACCACUGUUCAAAAUCACAAUACUAGUAACACUGUGACCAAUCACUUCAUAUUUAAAUGAGACAAACAUUAUAUAUGAUUUCCCUGCCUGCAUCUCAAAUUGCCAUAGUUCUGUUGACUAUACAAUUUUUUUGCGAAUUUAAACUGCAGAUUCUGAGUUAGGACCUUUUAGAGUCUGCUUUCAAGGAAGUUGAUAAAAUUAUGUUAACAACCACAUAAAAUUAAAUAUACAGGUAUUUUUUGGAGAGGCAUGUCUUAAUUUGGGGAGAGUGAUUUAAUCCUGUAGGCCUUUUGUCUGAUUAAAGUAACAUCACCAAUUAAUUUUAUAAAGGAGCCUUUUUGACCAGAUCUUCCAUGACUGGAGCUUGUUCCCAUUUGAGGACCUAAAGACAGAGGUGAACGUUCAUCUCUUUGAUAAGCUUAAGUCAAAGGGACUCAUUAAGCUUUUAGGAUGGCAUAUUUUCCUUUAAUAUUUUUUGUGAUUCUCAUCUGAACUAUGUGCACAUUUUCAAAAUCUUUCUUGAGGUUUGAGCACUGGAGAUGUGGAGCAGCAGACAAAUAUGAGUCACCCCUCUUUAGCCAAGGACUGCACUUGUGCGCUUACAGUCAUGGCAUUGCACUGAAGAUUACCCACGAGUUCACUGUUUCGCAAAGCCUUCCUCUCCCCCAGCUCUUCCAUCGCAUCGCAGCUCCCCAGUCAACGGCACCACCACCAUGAAUAUACGGUCUGCGCUCAGGUCUGUGCUCAGUGCUGGCUCAAGGCUUUUCGACUAGAUUUAAUUUAUGGCAAUGGUGGAAAGCAGAACACGUGGGACAUGGGGGGAGACUGGAAGGUGGAACAGAGCCCUGGGAGGUCUGGUGAGAGUGCUGGUGGGCCAUGGUGCAGGGCUGGGAAGCAUCAUGAGAUGCUUGGAACAACUGGGAGGAAUCCAGCUUGUUUAGGGCUGCACAGAUGGAAGGUAGAGACUGCAGAAAGGUACCAUGAAGAGAAGCAUCUGACAAAUGCCUUCUCCAGCAGAGCAAUUUUGCUGCCCCAAUUUUUUUACCUGUUGGCCUAGGUAGAACCCAUACUUUUGUCUAUGCCAAAAAGCAGAGCUGCUUGCAGUUUUCGUUGCUAGAAGUGUGGCCUUGAGCUUGCCUCUAUGGCCAUGCAUGGUGUUUGUUUCUGCCUGGAUAGUGCACUUCUUAUAAUGCUUUAACAAUGGCAUGUUCUUCAAAUUAUGUUGCACUUCCUUGAUCUUUGUCAUCUAGGACUUUUAUCAGUAACAGUUUCUGUUUUCUUCCAGGUCAUUGUUAACAACAUUGAAUGGUAAGCGAUGAUAAAAAAAGAUCAAGAACUAAUAAACUUGCUUGAUUAAAAUUUAAAUUAGAUUUCAAGAUGUAUCAGCUUGUGCUUGGACCAAUUUGCGUGUGCACACCAUAUUGAUUUGUCAUGUUCUUGUUUCUUAUUGUGAAAAUCAUAUUGCACCGAGGCAAAUCCUUACAGAGAUUUGCCUGUUACAUCAGCACUGCUGCCCUGUUUAAAACACUGUUAAAAGCCAUUGUCAUUAGCUAAACCAUCUUUAUUUAUAAUUCUUUUUAUAUAUGAAGUCCUUCCAGUCUUUUGCCCAGGUUUAUAUAACGCUGACAGGCAUAUCUGGGUCAUUCUGUUUACCCUGUUAAAAUAUUGACAUAAUAUUAACAUUCUUCAAGUCACCUGGGGCUUCCUCACUGUUCUGAAAUGGAUUGAUAAUAAACAUUAACCAUCUGGAUAUGUCCUUACUUGGUUCUUUUGAAACACUCACUUAUAAGUUACCCAGACCUGGCAACUUAAUAUUGUUUGAGAUGAGUAGCAGUUGUUUUAACAUCCUCCUUAGUUACUGGAAUGGAAAGUAUUUCAACAUCAUUAUUGUCCGAUCUGAAUACAGCAUCUGGCUUUUUCUCAAAGAGAGAACAGAAAUAUUUUUUAGCACUUCUGCUUUUUCAGCAUGAUUAUUGACAGUUCUAUCAUUUCCAUCCAUUGUGAUGGCAAUCUUAAUUCAUUUUAAUGAAAGCCUUGUUAACUUAGUUCACAAAGAUUAGCAAAAGUCAAAUGUUUAUACUCUCAACCACUGCACACUUUAGCUAGGCAGACUUCCAUUGAUGCAAAGGAAAAAUAAGCUUAAAUUCCAUUUCAAUAAAUAAGUCAAAUAAUAUAAAGAAAACUUUUCUCAGAAAUAUGCAGAAAAUACUGUUCCCAUCAUUAAAGUGUGUUCAUGAUUCAGUAAUCAUGCAAAAAAAUCAGCUGUUUAAUGAAUUUAAUCGAGGUAAUUAUGUAUUGUUACUUGAAUUUGCUGUGUGAAGAAUGAUAGCAUUCAGCUGUAAAUGAUUUUUUGUCAUUUUUGA